rnacentral:rRNA from 1 species
GCACAGAGGAACUUGUUCCUUGGGUGGCGAGCGGCGGACGGGUGAGUAAUGCCUAGGAAAUUGCCCUGAUGUGGGGGAUAACCAUUGGAAACGAUGGCUAAUACCGCAUGAUGCCUACGGGCCAAAGAGGGGGACCUUCGGGCCUCUCGCGCUCAGGAUAUGCCUAGGUGGGAUUAGCUAAGUUGGUGAGGUAAUGGCUCACCAAGGCGACGAUCCCUAGCUGGUCUGAGAGGAUGAUCAGCCACACUGGAACUGAGACACGGUCCAGACUCCUACGGGAGGCAGCAGUGGGGAAUAUUGCACAAUGGGCGCAAGCCUGAUGCAGCCAUGCCGCGUGUAUGAAGAAGGCCUUCGGGUUGUAAAGUACUUUCAGUCGUGAGGAAGGUGGUGUUGUUAAUAGCAGCAUCAUUUGACGUUAGCGACAGAAGAAGCACCGGCUAACUCCGUGCCAGCAGCCGCGGUAAUACGGAGGGUGCGAGCGUUAAUCGGAAUUACUGGGCGUAAAGCGCAUGCAGGUGGUGGAUUAAGUCAGAUGUGAAAGCCCCGGGGCUCAACCUCGGAAACCCGCAUUUGAAACUUGGUUCACUAGAGUACUGUAGAGGGGGGGGUAA